rnacentral:misc_RNA from 1 species
AACGCAUAUUGCGCCCUUUGGUAUUCCGAAGGGCAUGCCUGUUCGAGCGUCAUUACACCCCUCAAGCCUAGGCUUGAUGUUGGGCAUUGCUGUAGAGCAUGUCUAAAAGACAGUGACGGUUCCCUUUAACCGCUGGUGCAUAGGUGUCGCCAUGUAGGGAGAUGGUAGCCAGUCUGUUAAAAUACAUUUUCUGAAGAUUGACCUCGGAUCAGGUAGGGAUACCCGCUGAACUUAA